CGAAGCCGUAGCGCAGAGGUCGUCGCGCGCGGUCUCCAAAACCGCGAGGACGCCGGUUCGAAUCCGGUCGGCAUUGUCC
rnacentral:tRNA from 1 species